UACGUAGGGUGCAAGCGUUGUCCGGAAUUAUUGGGCGUAAAGAGCUCGUAGGCGGUCUGUUGCGUCCGCUGUGAAAACUCGGGGCUUAACCCCGAGCCUGCAGUGGAUACGGGCAGACUAGAGGUAGGUAGGGGAGAAUGGAAUUCCCGGUGUAGCGGUGAAAUGCGCAGAUAUCUGGAGGAACACCGGUGGCGAAGGCGGCAUUCUGGACUGUAACUGACACUGAGGAACGAAAGCCAGGGGAGCAAACGGG
rnacentral:rRNA from 1 species